rnacentral:rRNA from 1 species
CCUACGGGAGGCAGCAGUGGGGAAUAUUGCACAAUGGGGGAAACCCUGAUGCAGCGACGCCGCGUGAGUGAAGAAGUAAUUCGUUAUGUAAAGCCCUAUCAGCAGGGAAGAAAAUGACGGUACCUGAGUAAGAAGCCCCGGCCAACUACGUGCCAGCAGCCGCGGUAACACGUAGGGGGCAAGCGUUAUCCGGAUUUACUGGGUGUAAAGGGGGCGUAGACGGCAGUGCAAGUCUGGAGUGAAAGGCGGGGGCUCAACCCCCGGACUGCUCUGGAAACUGGACGGCUGGAGUGCAGGAGAGGUAAGUGGAAUUCCUAGUGUAGCGGUGAAAUGCGUAGAUAUUAGGAGGAACACCAGUGGCGAAGGCAGCUUACUGGACUGUAACUGACGUUGAGGCUCGAAAGCGUGGGGAGCAAACAGGAUUAGAUACCCUUGUAGUC